ensembl:lncRNA
CACCUGGUCUGGUUCGUUUUGGUUUUGUUUGUACUUGAUGCCCCUACGGCACUGGUUGCUGCUAUGGUUUUGUUUCUUCUUUCAUUUAACUGCCUGUGUCCUACCACCACGAACUUGACAGUUACUUGGAACAGAAGGCCUCAUUGUCUCUCCCUCCUACGCUCUCUCUGUUACCAUCUUUCUGUACUCCAUGGACUUCAGUUUCAGUAUUUCAUUGUGUUCACAUCACAUAUACUGUGCAACUCUCUAAGACAGAGAGCUGUGACACACACCUGCUCGUGUCACGCUGCCAUGUUUGAUUGCUCGAAGCGCAGCCCAGCCUAUGAGCCAGGUACUCGGCCAGACUCGAAACAAGAAAAGCUACCCGGUCGGUGAACAAGUCAUUACCGAAGUAUUCAGUAGAUCAACAUUUGCCCAACCACUCAUACAUGGGAUGGAUUGUUCCUCUCCAUUAAACAGAGGUGGACAAGCUGCAGAAUCCGUCUGUAGUGAUGUUUGGCUGCCUGGAAAAAUGCUGUCCCUCAAGUGUCUGGGUGGCUAAUGGCAGCCAUUUAUUUGACACUGCACAUCUUGCUGUCCAGCCUGGUCCCUGUCCUAGAUAACAGAGGG